rnacentral:lncRNA from 1 species
CCUAGGCCAGGACCAUUUAUCGUCUGGUCCCUUUGAUCCUACUCUAAGAGAAAGCCCUAGGUUCCCAGGCAGCAGUGUCAGCUUGGGCCCUGUGUCCUCAGACAGUUUGGGUACCCCUUCUCCCAGGGACAGUGGCUGAGUGAACAGCUCUUGGCCUUUUGCAGGGGAGCAGGGGACCACCGCCGUUCAUGCCGUCUUGGGGACGAGCCUUGCUCCCUGCCACCCGGCCUCGCCUUCCAUCGUCUGAAACCGGCUCAGGUCUGGAGGGAGUUCUCGGCGUGUGCUGUGAUGCUGCCCUCAGCCUCCCGGGCACCCACUCUCGGCUUCUGGUUGACAGGUCGAGCAGGACCCUGCCUGACUGCAGUCUUACCUGGAGGAACGUCACAUUCUAGUCCCUGUCUCAGUGGCUCUCCCAGGCCGGCCCCCAGGGGCUGCCCAGCACAGUGAGUGCCCUCCUGGCCUCCACUGCUUCCUGGUCCUGUCGUCCCCACCCCUCUCUCUAUCAAAGCUUCUAAGGACCGUCCUAGAAUUCAUGAACUCCAUAGGGUGUUAAGUCACAUGCCAUGUGUACACACCAUCCCUGGUCAACUUGGCUUCCCACUGCCCUUGAUCCUGUCCCUCAGACUCCAGUCCCCAGUGCGGUCCCGGCCAGCUGGAUGGGCAUGCAUAGAGGUCUGCAGGCCCUGCUCAGUGGGUUAUGGUAUUGGUCUAGUGGCCGGGAGGGAGGCCAGGCGCGUGGGCCUCAGGAGGGUGCCUGUUGUCUUACAUGACAAGAGACUCUGCACCUGCUUAAGCCAGGUGUCAGGGAGGAUGGCACCAGAGCGCCAGCUUACUAGGAAAGGGUCACUGCAGGCCCACAGGGUACAGGAGGAUCUAGGGAGUCAAGUUUCUCUGUUUUUUCAAUUUUGUAACAUUCUGUUAUUAAUUAUUACUAAUGUGUAUUAUGUGUCAUGACCACAUCACUGUACUUGGCUUUUCCAUCCUGGUAAACUUUGGACUGUUAAGAACA